GGGCAGUGCUAGAACAGCUGGAGACACAAAUUGUCAUAAGAACACAGAGGAGAGAAGAACAAACUCAGCCUGGGCAUACAGAAAGUCUUCAGGGGGAGGGAGGCAUGUGUCUGCUGGGCUUGAAGAAUGUGUGGCACAACAGAAUGAUGCAUAACUGGAAGAGGGAGGGUCCAAAGCUGGCACAAAACAAGACAUUUUUUGUCAAUUAAAUUCUUACAUGUCAUGAGUCCAUGGAUACUUUCCAGGUGGAAAGAGAAGAUGAAAAUGCAUGGAGGCGUGAAGACACGUGUGGCGAUUAGUUAGGGUUCUGGGGUGUAGGUGAGUGGAGCUGAGAAGGCAGGUGAAGGCCAGGUUGUGAGACACACUAAGUGUCAUGCUAGCAAGCUUGGA
rnacentral:lncRNA from 1 species